rnacentral:tRNA from 1 species
UACCCGUUGGCUUAAUGACAAAGCGCUUGACUUCGAAUCAAGAGAUUGCUGGUUCGACCCCAGCACGGGUCG